GCUGGGCAUGGUGGUGCAUGUCUGUAAUCCCAGCUACUUGGGAGGCUGAGGCAGGAGAAUUGCUUGAACCUGGGAGAUGGAGGUUGCAGUGAGCCGUGAUCAGGCUUCUGCACUCCAGCCUGGGAGACAGAGCAAGACUCUGUCUCAA
ensembl:misc_RNA Metazoa_SRP Metazoan signal recognition particle RNA